rnacentral:rRNA from 1 species
AUGGUUAAGUUAGAAAGGGCGCACGGUGAAUGCCUUGGCACUAGGAGCCGAUGAAGGACGGGACUAACACCGAUAUGCUUCGGGGAGCUGUAAGUGAGCUUUGAUCCGGAGAUUUCCGAAUGGGGAAACCCACUGUUCGUAAUGGAACAGUAUCUUUAUCUGAAUACAUAGGAUAUUGAAGGCAGACCCGGGGAACUGAAACAUCUAAGUACCCGGAGGAAGAGAAAGCAAAUGCGAUUUCCUGAGUAGCGGCGAGCGAAACGGAAUUAGCCCAAACCAAGAGGCUUGCCUCUUGGGGUUGUAGGACACUCUAUACGGAGUUACAAAGGAACGAAGUAAAUGAAGCGACCUGGAAAGGUCCGUCGAAGAAGGUAACAACCCUGUAGUUGAAACUUCGUUCCCUCUUGAGUGGAUCCUGAGUACGGCGGAACACGUGAAAUUCCGUCGGAAGCUGGGAGGACCAUCUCCCAAGGCUAAAUACUACCUAGUGACCGAUAGUGAACCAGUACCGUGAGGGAAAGGUGAAAAGCACCCCGGAAGGGGAGUGAAAGAGAUCCUGAAACCGUGUGCCUACAAGUAGUCAGAGCCCGUUAACGGGUGAUGGCGUGCCUUUGUAGAAUGAACCGGCGAGUUACGAUCCCAUGCAAGGUUAAGCUGAUAAGGCGGAGCCGUAGCGAAAGCGAGUCUGAAUAGGGCGUUUAGUAUGUGGUUGUAGACCCGAAACCAGGUGAUCUACCCAUGUCCAGGGUGAAGUUCAGGUAACACUGAAUGGAGGCCCGAACCCACGCACGUUGAAAAGUGCGGGGAUGAGGUGUGGGUAGCGGAGAAAUUCCAAUCGAACCUGGAGAUAGCUGGUUCUCUCCGAAAUAGCUUUAGGGCUAGCCUCAUGUUGUGAGAGUCUUGGAGGUAGAGCACUGAUUGGACUAGGGGCCCCCAACGGGUUACCGAAUUCAGUCAAACUCCGAAUGCCAAAGACUUAUCCAUGGGAGUCAGACUGCGAGUGAUAAGAUCCGUAGUCAAAAGGGAAACAGCCCAGACCACCAGCUAAGGUCCCCAAGUAUACGUUAAGUGGAAAAGGAUGUGGAGUUGCUUAGACAACCAGGAUGUUGGCUUAGAAGCAGCCACCAUUUAAAGAGUGCGUAAUAGCUCACUGGUCGAGUGACUCUGCGCCGAAAAUGUACCGGGGCUAAACGUAUCACCGAAGCUGUGGAUUGACAUCUUUGAUGUCAGUGGUAGGAGAGCGUUCUAAGUGCAGCGAAGUCAGACCGUAAGGACUGGUGGAGCGCUUAGAAGUGAGAAUGCCGGUAUGAGUAGCGAAAGACAAGUGAGAAUCUUGUCCACCGAAUGCCUAAGGUUUCCUGAGGAAGGCUCGUCCGCUCAGGGUUAGUCGGGACCUAAGCCGAGGCUGAAAAGCGUAGGCGAUGGCCAACAGGUUGAUAUUCCUGUACCACCUCCCCGCCGUUUGAGUAAUGGGGGGACGCAGUAGGAUAGGGUAAGCGCGCUGCUGGAUAUGCGCGUUCAAGCAGUUAGGCUGAUGAGUAGGCAAAUCCGCUCAUCAUAAAGGCUGAGCUGUGAUGACGAGGGAAUUAUAGUACCGAAGUUCCUGAUUCCACACUGCCAAGAAAAGCCUCUAGCGAGGCGGGAGGUGCCCGUACCGCAAACCGACACAGGUAGGCGAGGAGAGAAUCCUAAGGUGAUCGAGAGAACUCUCGUUAAGGAACUCGGCAAAAUGACCCCGUAACUUCGGGAGAAGGGGUGCUCUGGUAGGGUGUAUAGCCCGAGAGAGCCGCAGUGAAUAGGCCCAGGCGACUGUUUAGCAAAAACACAGGUCUCUGCGAAGCCGCAAGGCGAAGUAUAGGGGCUGACGCCUGCCCGGUGCUGGAAGGUUAAGAGGAGGGGUUAUCCUUUGGGAGAAGCUCUGAAUCGAAGCCCCAGUAAACGGCGGCCGUAACUAUAACGGUCCUAAGGUAGCGAAAUUCCUUGUCGGGUAAGUUCCGACCCGCACGAAAGGCGUAACGAUCUGGGCACUGUCUCAACGAGAGACUCGGUGAAAUUAUAGUACCUGUGAAGAUGCAGGUUACCCGCGACAGGACGGAAAGACCCCGUGGAGCUUUACUGUAGCCUGAUAUUGAAUUUUGGUACAGCUUGUACAGGAUAGGUAGGAGCCUGAGAAGCCGGAGCGCUAGCUUCGGUGGAGGCGUCGGUGGGAUACUACCCUGGCUGUAUUGAAAUUCUAACCCGCGGCCCUGAUCGGGCCGGGAGACAGUGUCAGGUGGGCAGUUUGACUGGGGCGGUCGCCUCCUAAAAUGUAACGGAGGCGCCCAAAGGUUCCCUCAGAAUGGUUGGAAAUCAUUCGUAGAGUGUAAAGGCACAAGGGAGCUUGACUGCGAGACCUACAAGUCGAGCAGGGACGAAAGUCGGGCUUAGUGAUCCGGUGGUUCCGCAUGGAAGGGCCAUCGCUCAACGGAUAAAAGCUACCCCGGGGAUAACAGGCUUAUCUCCCCCAAGAGUCCACAUCGACGGGGAGGUUUGGCACCUCGAUGUCGGCUCAUCGCAUCCUGGGGCUGUAGUCGGUCCCAAGGGUUGGGCUGUUCGCCCAUUAAAGCGGUACGCGAGCUGGGUUCAGAACGUCGUGAGACAGUUCGGUCCCUAUCCGUCGUGGGCGUAGGAAAUUUGAGAGGAGCUGUCCUUAGUACGAGAGGACCGGGAUGGACACACCGCUGGUGUACCAGUUGUCUUGCCAAAGGCAUCGCUGGGUAGCUAUGUGUGGACGGGAUAAGUGCUGAAAGCAUCUAAGCAUGAAGCCCCCCUCAAGAUGAGAUUUCCCAUAGCGUAAGCUAGUAAGAUCCCUGAAAGAUGAUCAGGUUGAUAGGUCAGAGGUGGAAGCGUGGCGACAUGUGUAGCUGACUGAUACUAAUCGAUCGAGGACUUAACCAAAC